AGGGUAGCUCUGGAGAGGCAGGUCUUCUUGGAACAAUGGGAUCUGCUGGUAAAACAGGAGAGCAAGGCAAAGUAGGAGGUCUAGGACCCAUUGGACCCAUUGGCGGACCAGGAGACAGAGGAGAACAAGGACCAGGCGGUCCACCGGGUAAACCAGGAGCCAGGGGACCUAAAGGGGAUCUUGGUCUUUCUGGUGUUCCCGGACCCCCAGGCCUCCCCGGAGUGAAGGGAGAGAGGGUAAGAUAAGAGGACGUUCUAUUCUGACUGGUAUCUAUCCCCUCUGUAGAGACCUGCCGUCCGGUGGGGAAACAAACACUUCUGUUAUACAACUAAACAAACUCCUGCUAUUAUACAACUAAACAAACUACUGCUAUUAUACAACUAAACAAACUACUGCUAUUAUACAACUAAACAAACUACUGCUAUUAUACAA